rnacentral:misc_RNA from 1 species
AAGUCGUAACAAGGUUUCCGUAGGUGAACCUGCGGAAGGAUCAUUAACACGUAUCCAUAAACCACCCGUGCACCUUCAUCUUACCAGCACCGAAACGAUUCUUUGCGGCAUGUUAAGUCGUGACCCACCGGGAUCUAGGGAGUUGGACCAUGCAAAUUUACCAUACCCACCGCAGGAAAACUAUGUCUUCCAUGCAAAACUAACCGCUCGGGGGUUCUCCGGGGCUUCCAGAGCUGGUAACCCGAACAACUGUUAACAAUGGAUAUCUUGGCUCUC